UAUGGAUAGUACGGUUGACCACAGAUGGCAAAGCCCAAGUCAAAAUCUUAUAUAAUAAACCUUACGGGAUAAAUCCACAGUGCACAGGGUAAACAUAGGAAAAGUAUACACAGUAUCUAAAUGCAGACAACACACAAUACGCGAAUGUAUAUCUACAUUAGCUUUGAAGAACUAUACACUCUUUUAAAGUGGAUAUUGUAUUUACCUCGUAAUAUUUUGUUUAAAUAAAUUUUAAUAAUGUU